rnacentral:lncRNA from 1 species
GGGAGUUCGAGACCAGCCUGGUCAACAUGCUGAAACCCCGUCUCUACUAAAAACAGUAGAGACGUGUGGUGGUGCACGCCUGUAAUCUCAGCUACUUGGGUGGCUGAGGCGUGAGAAUCGCUUGAACCCGGGAGGCAGAGGUUGCAAUGAGCAGAGAUCAUGCCACUAUACUCCAGCCUGAGCGACAGAGCAAGACUCUGUCUCAAAAAAAAAUGUGCACCACUGAGACCCCUUUUCAAGGAAAGGCUCGCUGCACAGCUGCAGGGAGUGCGGUGGGCAGGCAGCCUCCAGAUGUCAGCUCCAUCAGAGUCUGCAGAAAGUCACUUCCCCAAGCUCAUGCCCUUUACCCCAAAACACUCUGCCACGCCAUCCCUGCUCCAGAGCUCCCCGCUGGGCUGGCCAAGGCUUUGUGUGGCUUGCAUCAUACUCAGCUCUCCCCCUGCCCGAUCCUGCUUCCUCCUCCUUCCCUUUACAUCAACUGAUAAACCUCCUGUGCCCCAAACUCCAGCUGAAAUUCUGCUUCUAAAGAGCCUGCCCUGUGACACUGCCCAGUGAAACUAAGGGGUCCCAACACUGCAUCCACUAGGAGUUACCCCAGGGGAAAGCACAUGAGUGGAAUGGUCACUUUAUCGGCUGAAGAGUAGUGGAAAGAGUCAAGAAAACUCACCUGAGAAAACCAGAGGGCUGCAGCUCAAAGUCAAGGGUACAGGAAGUGACCCUGAGAAGGUCUCCAGCACUGUGUUCUAUAAGGCUCAGCCCAACACAACCAAGCCGGUGGUGAGUCAAGAAAAGUGCCACCAAGAUGAGUUUAAAGUAGAAUGUCAAAUCUGCCACCUCAAAAUUUCACAAGGAGGAAACCCCCAAAAUCAUGCACAACAAUAUUCACAAUCAAUCAUCUUGAAUCCAGACUCAAUAGACAAUGUGAAGAGUGUAAACAAAAGAAGAAAGUGUUAGCGAAAAAGGAGGUUCCUCAAAAUUAUCCUGCCAUCCACAGACCUUGGUAGAAACUGGGCAUCUGUGUGGUGUUGCACACUGUGCAGAAAAACAGUAACAGAGCAGGCCUCAACUGCGAUCCUUGGAAAGGCCUGCUUCAAGGUUGGCCCUUGGGUGGUGUCUAAGAACAUAGACUCCAGGAGGGUUCCCACCAUUCCCUAAGAGAUAAGAAUGGCUCACUCGGGCCGGGUGUGGUGGCUCACACCUGUAACGCCAGCACUUUGGUAGGCCAAGGUGAGAGGAUCACUUGAGCCCAGGAGUUCAAGGCCAGCCUGGGCAACAUGGCAAAACCCAUCUCUGCAAAAAUCAGCUGGGGUCAUGGUGGUGCAUGUCUGUGGUCCCAGCUACUUUGGAGGAUGAGGCAGCAGGACCGCUUGAGCCUGGGAGGUUGAGGCUGCAGCGAACCAUGUUUGAGCCACUGCACUCCAGCCUGGGCAACAAAGUGAGACCCUGUCUCAAAAAAAAAAAAAAAGAAAGAAAGAAAAAAAAGAAUGGCUUACUCUACCUAAGCUGUUUGUAUAAAAAAGUGGGCCAGGAGCGGUGGCUCAUGCCUGUAAUCCCAGCACUUUGGGAGGUCGAGGCAGGCGGAUCACAAGGUCAAGAGAUGGAGACCAGCCUGGCCAAUAUGGUGAAACCCCGUCUCUACUAAAAAUACAAAAAUUAGCUGGGCGUGGUGGUGGCAGGCGCCUGUAGUCCCAGCUAUUCAGGAAGCUGAGGCAGGAGAAUUGCUUGAACCCAGGAGGCGGAGGUUACAGUAAGCCGAGAUCACGCCACUGCACUCCAGCCUGGCGACAAAGCGAGACUCCGUCUCAAUUAAAAAAAAAAAAAAAAAGGUGGUUUAUGCUGAGCCCCUGCUUUCCUUUUGGGAGCCUGGGAUUUGGGUAGGUGCCAGGCAGGGGGUGCCUAUGUGACCAUGCCCCAAUAAAAACUUGAUACCAGCCAGGUGCUCACGCCUGUAAUCCCAGCAGUUUGGGAGGCUGAGGUGGGAGGAUCACUUGAGGUCAGGAGUUCAAGAUCAGCCUGGCCAACAUGGUGAAACCCCAUCCCUACUAAAAAUACAAAAAUUAGCCGAGCUUGCUGGUGCGCGCCUGUAGUUCCAGCUAUUCGGGAAGCUGAGGCCCGAGGAUCGCUUGAACCCAGGAGGUGGAGGCUGCAGUGAGCCAAGAUCAUGCCACUGCAUUCCAGCCUGGGCGUCAGAGCAAGACCCCCCCCCCCCCGCCAAAAAAAAACCAAAACAACAACAACAACAAAAAAAACCUCUGGGUGCUGAGUCUCUAAUUGAGCUUCCUUGGUCAGCAACAUUUCGCAUGUAUUGUCACAACCCAUUACUGUGAACCGAGCACAUCUUGUGUGACUCCAAUGAGAGAGAAGCCCUGGAAACUUGUGCCUGGGUCUCUCUGGGAGUUGGUCCUGCACACCAUUUCUUUUUGCUGAUUUUGCUCCAUAUCUUUUUGUUGUAAUAAGUCAAUCGUAGCCAUGAAUACAACCACAUACUGAGUCUUGGGAGUCCUCCUAGCAAAUCACUGGGCUUGGGGCUGGUAUUGAGGACCAUGACACACACACACAUACAUGACCUUUACCAUGGGAACAAUCCAGCUCACUGAUGUCCCUAUCUCACCACCAUGUACCCUGAGGUCUAUUAGAUGGAAGUGCCAGUUAGAAAUGCUUGGGGUGCAAGUAACCACACUGUCAAAUAACUGGACUGAACAAACGGGAGAUUAUUUCCCUCCAACAAGACUGUUGGUGCGAGUUCAGCAGCUCAGCAAUGCUGGGCCAAGCUGGAGUCUCUACCACGCUGUGGACUGACCCUAAGGUCCCAAGAUGUCAGUCGCAGUUCCAGUCAACGCAUAUGUGGCAACAAAUGGAGCUGAGAAGGAAGGGAGGGGCCGGAGCAAGAGCCUCUUUGCUGCUUCAGGUAACUUUGACAUUUUCUGGUGACGCAGGCCACUGAUAAGUGAUUUUGGUUAUUUACCCCCAUCAAUACUCAAAGCUUUUUCUCCUCUCUUGGGGCUCCCCUCAAAUACUUAACAUCACUUUUUGGUCUCUGAGCUGUUCCAGGGCUGGAAUUUGUACCCUGGAUGGGGCUGGGAGGAGACAGGGGUGGUCUGAGGGAUGGAGAUUCCGCCACACAGCAGGAGGCCCCAGGUCAGCCUUAACUUCCCGUUGCUCCUGCACCAGCUUGGGGCUCCAGGACUCAACACCUCUGCUCCCUGCUUUUAAUAAACAACACAAUGCACAGAAGGGUUGGGAAUAUCGCCCCCUGAGGAGGCAGCAGAGUCCUGCAGCCUAACAUAGUGAACCCCCUGGGGGUCCGACCCAACAUUCCCCCGCCAACUCCUCCACUGUCACUACCCUGGUGCAAGUCCCCAUCACUGCGCUCAGAGGGGUCUCCUGCUGGGUCCCCUGCUUCUACCCCCACCCCCAAUCUGUCCCCUUCAGCAGCCAGAGGGAGCCUCUAUGACCAAGUCAGAUCAUGUUCCUCCUCUGCUUGACACCUUCUGGUCACCCCCACUCAGAAAAAAAGCCAAAGUCCUAACUGUGGCCCAUGAAGCAUCUGGCCUGUCUGACCUCAUGUACUGUCACACUCUGGUCCAGCAAGACUCUGGCAUACACAAUGAUCCUUCUGGAGCGCUCCAGCCUCAGUGCCUUUAGGCUGGCUUUCUCUCUGCCUGGAAUGUUCUCCCCCUACACUAUGACUCCCACUCACUUCAUUCAGGUCUUUAAAUGUCACCCUGAGCCAGGCGUGGUGGUUCAUGCCUGUAAUCCCAGCACUUUGGGAGGCUGAGGCGAGUGGAUCGCUUGAGCCCAGGAGUUCAAGACCAGCCUGAGCAACAUGGCGAGACCCCGUCUCUACUAAAAAUACAAAAAUUACCCGAGUGUGGUGGCACACACCUGUAGUCCCAGCUACUUGGGAGGCUUAAGUGAGGAUCACUUGAGCCCUGGAGGUUGAGGCUGCAGUGAGCUAUGGUCAUGCCACUGCAUUCCAACCUGGGUGACAGAGUGAGACCCUGUCUCAAAAACAAAAAAGUCACCCUGUCAGGAUCAUCUUCCCUGAUGCUGUCACCAUAAAGAGCCCACUCCCCCAACUUCUGCAGCUCUGUCUCCCAUCCUUGCUUUAUUUUCUUCAUACCACUCAUCAUUAGCUGGCCUGUUCCAUGUUUUUAUCUACUGUCUCCGCUAUGAUGCAAGCCCAAUGAAGGCAGGCAUUUCCAUCAGUUUAGGUCAGAGCAGUAUCCCCAGUGCCUAGAACAGUUCCUGGCACACGGUCAGGGCUCACUAAUGUCUAUCGAAUGCAUAAGUGUGUAAAACAGUUAAGGCAGGGCCUGUAACCCAGCAGACAUUCAAUCAAUGCUUGUGGAAUGAAUGAAUCCGUCGAUGCAUGAAUGCACAAAUGAGUCAA